rnacentral:lncRNA from 1 species
CCUGCCUACACUUCUAAAGAGAGGGACAUGAACAUCCUCACAGAUCUGUGCACACACUGGGGGAAAUUCCUCAAAGCAGAAUUGCUGCCUCCGAUCAGAUUCCCAUUUUUAAGGCUCAGGGUGAUUCUCCCACCUGUCCUCGGAACCACAGCGCCAGUUUCCAGGCCGGUGUGGAAAGGCCAUCUUCAAGGGUCCCUCAAGCUGGGCGGCUGGGAGGCCCCGCCCCUCUCCUGCAGAGAAUGGGGACAAAGCCCACCGCUCUGGCCACCGUGAGGACACACAUCGCAAUGGCUGUUCCACCUGAGCCAGGCGCAGCAGGAGGCGCUGGGGGAGGCCUGCACUGCUGGCAGGAUGGGGACCUCCCCCAAGACAAGCGCUCGGUGGCUCGGAGCUCGGAACCCGAUGCUGCCCGGAUACCGUUGCUGGCACAAAGGACCUCCAGUGUACCAAGAUGGAACCAUCCCCAGGCAUCGAAAAGAAGUCUCGGAUCAAGACUCAUGACUCCCUCACAUCAGAGCCUCCUCCUCCUCCUCCUCCUCCUCCUCCUUGCCCUCGGCCUCCAGAAACUCAGGCUUCUGUCCCAGAGUACCCCCAAGGACCCCACGUGGUUCACACCGCACCCCCAGCCCUGUUCACCAACAUGACCACGAUGCAGUCGGCCAUGCCCAUCCAGUUCUCGUGUCCCUACUGCGGGAACUACAUCAUCACGGUGACCCGCCCGGUCCCGGGGGUCCUCACCUGGCUGCUGUGCACGGGGCUCUGCUUGUUUGGCUUGAUGGACGUGAUGCACACCUGCCCUGUGUGCCAGCACCAGCUGUUCCGCUACCAGCGCCUGUGACCCCUGCAAAAUAAAUGUUGACCAGCGACCUUCAACCGCCCACGUCUGUCCUGCAGGGUCCCUCCUCCCCGCGGUGGCGCAGGCCAUGAGGCGUUGCCCACCUGCCCUUCCCUCUGCCCUCCUGUCCCCAGGGCAG